CCAGCAGCAUGGCAGGUCUUGGCACCCACCUCGGUUCCCCUGCUGAACUUCCACAAAUAAACAUUCAAAGCAAAAGGGACAGAUUUGCUUCUCAGCAAGAUUUCAAAGUUGUGCGCCAGAGUUGGAGAGAAAACAGGAAGGAUGCCCACCUAGGUCACCAAUCUGUGUGUGCGUACUUGCAAGUGAGCAUGGCAAUAGUGUGCAAAUGAGCGUACCCCAGGCAGGAAGGACCAGGAGGGGUAUCCAGUCCCGAUGUUCAACGACCAUGAGCAACGACAAAGAGGCGAGCUCCCAUGUUGAACAGUGCCCAGAAAGAAUGUUGCCAUCAUGAUGGACAAUUCUGGGGACAGUGCUCAUAAGAAGCCCCAGAGCGAGGUGGAGGUGGGCAUACCUCCAGGAGCUAGA